rnacentral:rRNA from 1 species
UACGAGGGGGGCUAGCAUUGCUCGGAAUCACUGGGCGUAAAGGGUGCGUAGGCGGGUCUUUAAGUCAGGGGUGAAAUCCUGGAGCUCAACUCCAGAACUGCCUUUGAUACUGAAGAUCUUGAGUCCGGGAGAGGUGAGUGGAACUGCGAGUGUAGAGGUGAAAUUCGUAGAUAUUCGCAAGAACACCAGUGGCGAAGGCGGCUCACUGGCCCGGUACUGACGCUGAGGCACGAAAGCGUGGGGAGCAAACAGG